rnacentral:rRNA from 1 species
CCCGGGCCUUGUACACACCGCCCGUCACACCAUGGGAGUUGGCUUUACCCGAAGGCGGUGCGCCAACCGUAAGGAGGCAGCCGACCACGGUAAGGUCAGCGACUGGGGUG